AUCACACUACGUCGUUUUUGAUCUAAAAAAGUUUGUAUCAUUUGCAAAUCUCUUCCACCGUCACAACUCACAAAGCUCUUCAGUUCUUCACCUCUUCUGUUCUUCUCUCAACGUCGCCUUGCUCUACGACCUAGUAGCAACCUUUGGGGUUUCUUCCGUUUCCAGCCAAGCCAACCUCCUAAUCUCGGUAGAGCCAAGCAAAAGUUCAUUUGUACUUUUCCUGUUUGCCAUUUUUCAUGAUCCUCACCCUAGUUUUUUCUAGGGUUUCGAAAUUGCAAAAAGGGGUAAACUACAAAUCUGGAAAAGGCUUGUCGUCUGAGUCUGAAUCGCUGUGGGAAAUCAUACAGAUCUUAAUGGGGGAGUAGGCUUCGUUUGGGAUACAGUUUUUAGUGGAAAAGUAUUAGAUGUGCAAAGAGAAAUGGUCUCUCUUCUGUGUCGAGCGAUGCCUUGAACCCCCUUCGGGGUUACGUUUCUCUUCCACAGGUCACCUUUGGCCCAAAGAGAUGGAUGUUGCCCAAUUCAGAAAACUCAGUUUUAGCCUCGACUGCGAAUGAUAUGCGCUGUGAUAAGUACACCCCCAUUGAUUCUGGAAAGUUGAAGUCUGCAGCUAUAGGGCUAUCUCAAAGUCAUAUCCACUAGCUGUUCACCCAAGAUUGAGUUUGAUAAGAAUUUUAGAUGAAAUGAAACAGAAGUUUUCACAAGUUUUUCACAAUUCUGAUGGUACCAGUCCUAUCAUAAAUGAUGUUGAGAUAGUGAAAAACCAAUUAGGUAUCAGAAAUGGAUAUCGUCGUGGGUUCGGAAAUGGUUUUGUAGCUCCAAGCCAUCAACGUGCAUCCUUAUCUUUUGAAGAGGCUUAUAGAAAAAGGGUAAAAAAUGUUGAAGAAGAUAAUGCACAACUUAGGGAGAAAGUUACAAAUUUAGAGGAGAAGUUGGAUACAUUUCAGCACCUCCUUGAGCAGCAACAACAACUCCUUCAGCAGCAACAACAGAACCAACAAUUGCCACCACGAUUCCACCAACAGCAGCAUGCCCCACCAAGCUGGUAUCAGCAGCCGCCAACAUGGUGGCAAUUUCGGCACCACGCACCAGCACCACCACAACAGUCACCUGAAUGAACUAUAAAGAUAAUUAUUUUGGUAAAUAUAUUUUGGAGCUUUUUGAUGGCUUGCUAACUGAUUUCUAACUAUUUUGGUAGUGUAUUUUUUUCCCUGCAUUUUCAUGAUUGCAUUCAGUUUAAAAUGAUGUUUUAAUUUUUGAGGAUGUUUGGAACCAUUUGAUGUUAAAGCAGCUACUAGAUACUUUUAGCUCUUCUUUACAAAACUGGAGAAUUUGUAGUUUCAUCAUGAGAUUAAGAGCUUGUUUGUUGGUAUCA